AUUGAACGCUGGCGGCAGGCCUAACACAUGCAAGUCGAACGGUAACAGGAAGCAGCUUGCUGCUUCGCUGACGAGUGGCGGACGGGUGAGUAAUGUCUGGGAAACUGCCUGAUGGAGGGGGAUAACUACUGGAAACGGUAGCUAAUACCGCAUAACGUCGCAAGACCAAAGAGGGGGACCUUAGGGCCUCUUGCCAUCGGAUGUGCCCAGAUGGGAUUAGCUAGUAGGUGGGGUAACGGCUCACCUAGGCGACGAUCCCUAGCUGGUCUGAGAGGAUGACCAGCCACACUGGAACUGAGACACGGUCCAGACUCCUACGGGAGGCAGCAGUGGGGAAUAUUGCACAAUGGGCGCAAGCCUGAUGCAGCCAUGCCGCGUGUAUGAAGAAGGCCUUCGGGUUGUAAAGUACUUUCAGCGGGGAGGAAGGGAGUAAAGUUAAUACCUUUGCUGAUUGACGUUACCCGCAGAAGAAGCGCCGGCUAACUCCGUG
rnacentral:rRNA from 1 species